GACAUAGGGGGCAAGCGUUAUCCGGAAUCACUGGGCGUAAAGAGAGCGUAGGCGGUUAAUUAAGUUAAGUGUGAAAGCCUUGGGCUCAACCCAAGAACUGCACUUAAUACUGGUUGACUAGAGUAUUGGAGAGGUAAGUGGAAUUCCUAGUGUAGCGGUAAAAUGCGUAGAUAUUAGGAGGAACAUCAGAGGCGAAGGCGGCUUACUGGACAAUAACUGACGCUGAGGUUCGAAAGCGUGGGGAUCAAAC
rnacentral:rRNA from 1 species